UCCGAACUUUCGUUUCAUUAAACAAGAAAAGCGAGGUUGGUCAUCCAUGAUGCAUUUAUAGAUCCGUUUGAUGAUGAAUCCCAUCCCAUCUUGAAUACCCCUCCCUUCAUUUCAAAGGCAGAGGAGCGUGUCCGGCUGUUGUCGUACGAGAAGAAGCUAGUGUGUGCAGCUGAGGACCCAGGAUGCUAACUGUGUAGAGCCGUUCACCAUCAAGAGGACCAGGGCUUCCAUCAUGGUCCUCCGGACCAAGCUCAACAUAUCCGCCGCCUUCGUCGACGACUUGUCCUGGAGGAUCGUUGCCGUCUGCAACGACUCACCUGAAUGUACGCCUGUGAUGGCAUUUUAGUUUCUUCCCCACGUGAUGCAUCAAUACAAUAAGUUUAUCAAGAAUUGCAUGAAUGUGCUAUCCAGAUCCAAAAAGAAAAUGAAGGUGUCGUUCCCCUACCUGGCACUGCCCAGUCCAUUUUA